GUGCGCACUUUGGCAGCACAUAUACUGGAGCUGGGGUGAUACAGAGAAGAUUAGCAUGGCCCCUGUGCCAGGAUGACACGCAAAUUUGUGAAGCAUUAAAAAUAAAA